AUAACUUCCCCUAUUAUAUCUCAUCAUCCAAAACCUGUCCUACUUUCAUAUAACUUCUUAUAUAGGGUAAAAUAUUUCAAUUAUGCAAAUCUCUUUCAACAUUCUCCAAAUACUGACGUCUUCUUAAAAAAAUUAUCAGAGUUCAUCAGCAAUAUCACAAUUCAAAAAAUGCUAUGAAAAAUACUUAUCUUUGCAUUAACCAGACGUUUGAAUUUGACAAAUAUCGCCUUAAUCGUCGCAGUUAUUCUAUUAUUCAGGUACUUAUGUUUGAAUUUUUCUCUUUGUGUGGAUUAUAUACUUUCUAAGUUAGAAAUUGUUGUCUAUAGGCAUGCGUUGUUGUACUUUAUAAUAUUGACUUUGAUGUUAUGAUUCAUCAAUGUUGUUGGUUAUUUUUUGUCUGUUAAAUUAUUAUUUUUCUCAGAGAAUCAUUUCUACAUUGUGAAUGGUUGGAUGUGUCAUUGGAUUUCAAAGUCAUACUCUGUGUGUUUGAUUUCUCACAAGUGGAACUGCAAUCAUUCGGUGAAAUAUGUAGAAACAUUCUUUGACUCAUUCUGUGUAUCAGGACGGUUCAAAGCUUUGAAUUUUGUGUUUUGGCAAUUGAUUUUUGGUGUUGCUUUUGGAGUUUGGAACUAAGAUCGAAAUUGGUUGCUUUUUAGAAGCAACAGGGCAAUGCAGUGACUGUUGCUCUGUAUUAUCAUUCGGGAAAUGUCAGCCCGACUGGUAAUGGGGAGGUUCUGUCAUGGUGCAAUGACUUCUGUCAGCCUAAUUUAAUCAUUUUUCCUCUAAGACAUGUUUUUUCUCUGUUAACUCUUUUCAUCUUUUGACUAUCUCAUUAGAUUAUGAAGAUAAUAAAACACAUUAAUGGAGUAGAUUUUCAUAAAAUCAUCAAAUAUGUGAUACUAGAAAGGGAAGUAAGCAAGAAACUACUGAUUUUUUCUCCCAAAUAUAUUUAGUUUGUACUGUUGUUGCUCUUUUUGUGUCAAAUUUAAGUCUGAUGUAAAUUUAUCAAGUUAUGCUCUUAAAUUUUGAAGGUUCUUGAGUAGUAUAUUACUAAUUGGGGGAGAAAUCUACAGAUUGAUUUUAAAAUAAGAAGUCUUCUAGUAUAAAUAAAGUAUAUUACUGCAGUUUGAAGGUAGAUUCUUUCUCUUAUUUUGUCGGUUGAACUUACUAUAUAGUAAUAGAUACGAAAACUUUAUUAUUUUACAUGUUGAAGAAGAAGCACAUAAGUGUUGCUUAAUGAUGCCUCAAAAAUCGAAGUUAUUAUAUAGUAAUAGAUAUGAAAACUUUAUUAUUGUACAUGUUGAAGAAGACACAGAUAAGUUUUGUUUAAUUAUGCCACAAAAAUCGAAUAGGUAACAGAUUUUCUACCCAAUUGUGGAUAGCAGAAGCAUUCGAAAGAAGAAAUUGAACAAACGAAAAAAAAAAAUAGUGAGAAUUUUCAGGUAUUGUGAAUUUUAUUUCUUCGCAAGUAUUUUAUCGUUCUUUGUUGAAAUUAUUGUAUUGUAAGCCUAUGGUUUUGUACAUUUUACUUUGGAUUUUGCAAUUCAGUAAUGUUUUUUUAUUAUAUUCUUUGUUUAUUUGGAAAAUCCUUUUUUAGGGUUCUUGGAAUUUGGAAUGAAUUAGAAGCAGUAUUCCAAUGCAGCAGCUACAGCUUUGUACAACUACCUGGGCAAUGCCAGCCCUGCUCAUGAUAUGGGCGACAUGCUUUCAUUGCUAAGUUUCUUCAGUUUGCACAUCAAAAUAUUUGUCCCCUCAAACUCUAAUUUUAACUAUCUUUUUUAUAUCAAAAUUAGUUUUUCAUAAGAGGAAUACAUAUAGUGGAAGAUAGAAAAUCGGAGGCAUUACAACAAAAAAUUGAUCAUGCUUACUUAACUUCAAAGGUUGUUGUAGAAAGGUACAGGUUUUUCUCCAAUUCUCCCUUUUCUCUUAAUACAUUAAAGUUUUGAAGAUGGUUACAACUUACCUACUUAUCCUUUUUUGUCGUAAUUGAAGGAGUUCUCAAAUACGCAGUAUUGCAUUUCUUAGGUCACCUAAUUUUGAGUAUCUGUAUUGAUUUUCUGGCUCAAGUAUUCUUAGUUGUUUAUGUAAUCAAUGAUCUACCGAUGAGCUCAUCUUUGAAAGCCUUGGUAUGGUCCUUGCCAUCAAAUUAAAAUAACUGCUUCUCUUUUGAGGAAAACGUUGUUCCGAUUAGUCUCAUUCAUGUGAAUAGGUUCCUGCUCUCUUGCACUAUUACAUAUAUAUCAAUUUUGCACAGUUGUUGAUUAAUAGACUUGCCUAUGCUAAUGCUAUCAUUCAAUUUACAGCUUACUAUGUGGUUGUUGAUGAGUUACUUAGAAGACAAUUUGCAAUAGUCUUUUUGGAGCGUGUUAAGAUGAUUUUGGGUCAAACUAUGGGGAUGAAAACGUUGUAACAACUCGUCCAAAUAACCUGAACAAGAAAUUCAGAUAAUUUAAAAUUAAAAUUUUCUUUAGUAUUAUGUAAGGGCAGAAGGCAGAUUUUUCUAUUAAGUCAUUUAAUUACACUACUCUCUUAAAUAUAUUCCUAAGUUUAUGAAGCAUAUGCAGUAUUGUGCUGAAUAUCCUGAAGAAGUAAUUGUUGCGUUCUAUGACUUUUUCAAAGUGGGAAAGAUGCCAGUCAGCGACACUGAAAUUGGUGAAUCGCAUAUUGCUAGCACCAUCUAUGCUACUUUGCCACUGUUUUUUUCACUAACACCUUUAAGAUUGAGCAUUUCUCCAACCCUCCCUCUGUGUUCUUGUGGGUGUUCAAUCAAAUUCCAAGCUCAUUUUAAAAGAAUCACAUCUUUUAUGUCUUUAUAGUGUUGAGGAGGUCAAGAAUGGCUGGAAAAAGUUGAGUUUUGGGGUUGGAACUCAGAAAACGGUGGAGCUGCAUCAACAAGAUUGUAAUAGCUGAGAAGUACAUGAAGUAUAAGGACUCUAAACAAUCGGUUAGGGUUAGAGUUAAAGAUCUUCUUGAUUGAAUGAUCCUUGAAGAAAGCAUAGACCAAAUAAUUUUGAUUGAUAAGACUGGAUCUAUAAUUAAAAUCACGAAGCACUACUAUUAUGUCGGAACAUUUUUAAAUCUUUAAAAUUCAGCCAUUUUCAUAUUUUUAAUUUAUUUAUGGUCCAUUUUAUUUGCAUCUAUUUGUUCUUCUAUGGUUGGUUUCUUAAUUUUUGGAGAUUCGAUAAUGUUAUUCUAUAUGAAAUAGUAAGCCGUGUUUACUUGGAU
rnacentral:lncRNA from 1 species